rnacentral:rRNA from 1 species
GACGAACGCUGGCGGCGUGCUUAACACAUGCAAGUCGAACGGAAAGGCCCUGCUUUUGUGGGGUGCUCGAGUGGCGAACGGGUGAGUAACACGUGAGUAACCUGCCCUUGACUUUGGGAUAACUUCAGGAAACUGGGGCUAAUACCGGAUAGGAGCUCCUGUUGCAUGGUGGUGGUUGGAAAGUUUCGGCGGUUGGGGAUGGACUCGCGGCUUAUCAGCUUGUUGGUGGGGUAGUGGCUUACCAAGGCUUUGACGGGUAGCCGGCCUGAGAGGGUGACCGGCCACAUUGGGACUGAGAUACGGCCCAGACUCCUACGGGAGGCAGCAGUGGGGAAUAUUGCACAAUGGGCGGAAGCCUGAUGCAGCAACGCCGCGUGCGGGAUGACGGCCUUCGGGUUGUAAACCGCUUUCGCCUGUGACGAAGCGUGAGUGACGGUAAUGGGUAAAGAAGCACCGGCUAACUACGUG